UUUGUUAAAGUGUAUAUGCACAAAAAAAUUUGAUUUUUUAAGAGAUUUAAAUAAUCUAACAAGU
rnacentral:tRNA from 1 species